UACGUAGGGGGCAAGCGUUGUCCGGAUUUAUUGGGCGUAAAGAGCGUGUAGGCGGCCGCACAGGUCCGUUGUGAAAACUGGAGGCUUAACCUUCAGACGUCGAUGGAAACCGUGCGGCUAGAGUCCGGAAGAGGAGAGUGGAAUUCCUGGUGUAGCGGUGAAAUGCGUAGAGAUCAGGAAGAACACCAGUGGCGAAGGCGCUCUGCUAGGCCGUAACUGACACUGAGGGACGAAAGCUAGGGGAGCGAAUGGG
rnacentral:rRNA from 1 species